AUUGAACGCUAGCGGGAUGCUUUACACCUGCAAGUCGAACGAGUGGCGGACGGGUGAGUAACAUAUCGGAACGUGCCCAGUAGCGGGGGACAACUACUCGAAAGAGUGGCUAAUACCGCAUACUAUUGUAGCGGCCCAUACCGGAUUAGCUAGUUGGUGGGGUAAAGGCGCCCCAAGGCAACGAUCCGUAGCUGGUUUGAGAGGACGACCAGCCACACGGGGACUGAGACACGGCCCAGACUCCUACGGGAGGCAGCAGUGGGGAAUUUUGGACAAUGGGGGAAACCCUGAUCCAGCCAUCCCGCGUGUAUGAGAAGGCCUUCGGGUUGUAAAGUACUUUUGGCAGAGAAGCGGUAUCUGCAGAAUAAGCACCGGCUAACUACGUGCCAGCAGCCGCGGUAAUUC
rnacentral:rRNA from 1 species